GUUGUGCUGCCCACGUUGUUCACACUUGUCAACAAUAUUGAACAAUAUUGUUGAGCUCGAAUCGGAUGUAACAAUAUUUAACAAUAUUGGUGACAACUGUGAACAAUGUGGGCAGGACAGU